ensembl:snoRNA
GGCCCCCCAUGAUGUCAGCACUGGGCGCUGAACCCCCUGAUGCCACCUGUGCCCCCCCCAGGACCAUUGAGCCCUGGGGGGGUCUGAGGGGGCC